CCUACGGGUGGCUGCAGUGGGGAAUAUUGCGCAAUGGGCGAAAGCCUGACGCAGCGACGCCGCGUGAGGGAUGAAGGUCUUCGGAACGUAAACCUCUGUCAGCAGGGAAGAACGGUCACUGUGCUAAUCAGCAGUGAAUUGACGGUACCUGCAAAGGAAGCACCGGCUAACUCCGUGCCAGCAGCCGCGGUAAUACGGAGGGUGCGAGCGUUAAUCGGAAUUACUGGGCGUAAAGCGCUCGUAGGCGGUACGUCAAGUCAAGGGUGAAAUCCCCGCGCUCAACGUGGGAACUGCCUUGGAAACUGGCAAACUGGAGUGUGUGAGAGGAUAGUGGAAUUCCAGGUGUAGGAGUGAAAUGCGUAGAUAUCUGGAGGAACAUCAGUGGCGAAGGCGACUAUCUGGCACAUAACUGACGCUGAGGAGCGAAAGCGUGGGUAGCAAACAGGAUUAGAUACCCUGGUAGUC
rnacentral:rRNA from 1 species